UUAAUCCUAAUCGGAAUCAGGUGGCACGUAAUUACUGGGAAGGGCAUGUGUGCUAUGAUGUGCUUUUGGGUUCUGUACAGAGCCAAGCAAGAUGGUCAUGUACUCUUGGGUUGGAGACAUCCUUGGGAGGGCCAUGGCCAUGGACAUGAUGAGCAUUAGGUAAUAUUGAAUGAAGUGGGUGUGAAGUGAGAUCUCUAAGGGCUCUGUUCAUAGAUGUCGUUUUGGCACUUCUUUGUUAUAUUCUGUUCAAUAAAAUGAAUUUGUUUGUAAAGGCCUAUGUACUCCUUUGAGAUCGUCUGCUUGUUAUGCCUUUUCUGAAAUACUCUUGGUUGGACUUGAAUUCGCAAUGAAAUCAUUGUGCUGUUUUUUUUUUCAAAAAAAAAAAAGAAAAUAACGUAUCAGUUUGUUUAAGUAUUCGAAUCGUAUUGUUUAAGUGAACUCGUCCAUUUGCUGUUCCUCAAUUUUGUUAUCUCAUUUGCUUAUUGUUUGGUACCCUAAUAUCGCUUCUUCAAAAAAAAAAAGAAAAAAGAGUAAAGUUAAUCCGUGAACCCUGCACCCAAUUUUGUUCUAUAGAGUGACAGAGGAGUUUGGUUUAUUAUUGUACUUUUUUAAAGGAAUACAUCUCUUUUCUUGUGAAUGCUUGUAGAGAGGUACAAAAAUUUUGGUCAUUCAGUGGAUUUUUCUUAAAAAUUGUCAAUUUUGCCAAUGUGAACUUUAUCAAAUUUAAACCAAACUGCAAGUUUUUCUGCUGCAAUUUUUCUGAAGGAUUAAGCUCUUUUGCAGGGAAAAUUAUAUCUGUUGCUUCUUGGAACGACAGCUCUCAGUCUGGUAACAACGCCACUGCUCUUCAAGUUGAUUCCUGCCGUUGUUCAUCUUGGGGUCUUAUUGCGGUGGUUUUCUCCAGAUAGCCCGAGUGAGAUUGGAUAUAUAUAAAGGGGAUAAUCUUUGGUCAGACAGUGCUAAGCGUAUUGCUAUCUUGGUCCACGGCUCUCAUGAUUCAUGAUAUUAAACAUAAAAAUAUGAAAUGGUCAAGGAACGGACUGCGAAUGCCAACGAUUUCGUCAACGGUGGAUCUCAUGUGAUGGAAUAUGGGAGUAGAAGUAUAAGAGCAGAGAAGCUCUAUCUCUACCAAAAGGUUUUGAUCCUGCCACUGUUAACUUCCCACCCAACAAUAACAAACUACACAUGGCUAUGGAAGUUGUGAACCAAAGAGAUGCAACUAUACUUCUAGAUUUGCUCAUGUGUGCACUUAAAAAUGUGACUCAAUAUUUAUGAAUUGAUGCAUGUACAAAUUUAAUAACUUUAACCAUUUGUUGUUUUUUUUUAAAAAAUAGUUUGUUGUACGUACUUAAAGAUUGUACUAUAAUAUAUAUUUCAUUAUAUAAAGAAAAAAGAAAUUAUUACCAUUAUUAAUUAUAUCAUUAUUAAUUAUAUAAUUAUUUUAUAUAAUUUACUACCAAAAACUGGUAAUAAAUAGUUGGACAUUAUAAUUUAUUAGUUUUGCUACUAAUUUUUGGUAGCAAAAUAAUUAUAUUGAAUAUUAAAAGCUAAUAAUUUUGCUACUAGAAUAAAUAUUAUUUGCUACCAAAAAAUUAGAAGCUAAAAAAAUAGUAUCAACUACCAAACAUUUGGUAGCAAAAUACUUUCAGCGACCGAGAUACAACUACCAAUUUGCUACCAAAAAAUUUGGUAGCAAAAAAAGUAUUAGCUACCAAAUAUAGAUUAUUUGC